UGCUUUACUAGUCCCUCACAUUCUCAACUCAACCUACUGUGGCUGGGAUGAAGGGAGUUCACAACAAUGAAGAAGAGGAUGACGAUGAUGAAACCCAUUUCCAACAUGAAUCCUCUUCAUGAAUUCUUCAGAUCAAUUGAUUCAAUGAAUCACCAAGUUUUAUACAUGUUUUAUGAUUUUGUUGCAACAAGAAAAGACUACACUGAUGGAGUUUCUUGAGUUGCUGAGGGUCUUUCUUUAUAACAAGGUUUAUGAUGUCAAACAUUUGAUGAUGUUUUGCCACAACCUUUAUAAAGCAUUGAAUCUCAUGGGAAUCCAACACUGUACUCCUUAACUCUGAAGGUAGCCUUGAGCAUUCUCUUCUCCACCACAAUACUCUGGAAGGUUGUCAGCGGGUUCUCGAAUUUCUUCGUGCAUGGUAUUAAUUGGGCAUUGCGGAUAUUGCUGUCAUUGCCUGUUUUAUCCUAAUGCAAUCCCCAGUAUGUUGAUUGAUCGUCAUGCCAUAGAUCAAAUUUCAACUUGUCGAAACUAGAACAAAAAAAUGAAGUUCUCCAUCCAGAAUUAAUCGCAAGGAUAGAUUGAUUGAAGAAAGACCAUAACAACAAGAAAAAUGAUAAACCAACUUUGAUCUGGAAGGAAUAAAACAUCGAGAGGAAAAAAUAGGAUAACACUUUUUGAUGUUGGGAAAUACGGGAAGAAAAAAAUAAUUAGAUGUCUUGUUAAAUAUUGUUCGAAUGAUUCAGAUGUAGAUAACUAGAAAGAUUUGAUUUGUAUAGGAUAAGAGAGACUUUUUUCUGACAAUUAGCUCCAUGAUGUACACUAGUAUUGUAAUAUG